CGGACGGGUGAGUAACGCGUGAGAAUCUGGCUCUAGGUCUGGGACAACCACUGGAAACGGUGGCUAAUACCGGAUGUGCCGAGAGGUGAAAGGUUAACUGCCUAGAGAUGAGCUCGCGUCUGAUUAGCUAGUUGGAAGUGUAACGGACUCCCAAGGCGACGAUCAGUAGCUGGUCUGAGAGGACGAUCAGCCACACUGGGACUGAGACACGGCCCAGACUCCUACGGGAGGCAGCAGUGGGGAAUUUUCCGCAAUGGGCGAAAGCCUGACGGAGCAAUACCGCGUGAGGGAGGAAGGCUCUUGGGUCGUAAACCUCUUUUCUCAGGGAAGAACACAAUGACGGUACCUGAGGAAUAAGCAUCGGCUAACUCCGUGCCAGCAGCCGCGGUAAUACGGAGGAUGCAAGCGUUAUCCGGAAUGAUUGGGCGUAAAGCGUCCGCAGGUGGCAAUGUAAGUCUGCUGUUAAAGAGUCUAGCUCAACUAGAUAAGAGCAGUGGAAACUACAUAGCUAGAGUACGUUCGGGGCAGAGGGAAUUCCUGGUGUAGCGGUGAAAUGCGUAGAGAUCAGGAAGAACACCGGUGGCGAAGGCGCUCUGCUAGGCCGUAACUGACACUGAGGGACGAAAGCUAGGGGAGCGAAUGGGAUUAGAUACCCCAGUAGUC
rnacentral:rRNA from 1 species